rnacentral:rRNA from 1 species
UAACACAUGCAAGUCGAGCGGGACAUAUUGACGGAACGGAAGUUUCGGAUGGAAGGGAAGAUGAUGUGUUCUAGCGGCGGACGGGUGAGUAACGCGUGAGCAACCUGUCCUUCACAGGGGGAUAACACAGCGAAAGUUGUACUAAUACCGCAUGAGACCACGGCGGGACAUCCCGCAGGGGUCAAAGGAGCAAUCCGGUGAAGGGUGGGCUCGCGUCCGAUUAGAUAGUUGGUGAGGUAACGGCCCACCAAGUCGACGAUCGGUAGCCGACCUGAGAGGGUGAUCGGCCACAUUGGGACUGAGACACGGCCCAAACUCCUACGGGAGGCAGCAGUGGGGAAUAUUGCACAAUGGGGGGAACCCUGAUGCCAGCAACGCCGCGUGAAGGAAGACGGUUUUCGGAUUGUAAACUUCUGUUCUUAGUGACGAAGAAGUGACGGUAGCUAAGGAGCAAGCCACGGCUAACUACGUGCCAGCCGCUGC